GUGCGGAACACGUGUGCAACCUGCCUUUAUCAGGGGGAUAGCCUUUCGAAAGGAAGAUUAAUACCCCAUAAUAUAUUAGAUGGCAUCAUUUGAUAUUGAAAACUCCGGUGGAUAGAGAUGGGCACGCGCAAGAUUAGAUAGUUGGUGAGGUAACGGCUCACCAAGUCAGUGAUCUUUAGGGGGCCUGAGAGGGUGAUCCCCCACACUGGUACUGAGACACGGACCAGACUCCUACGGGAGGCAGCAGUGAGGAAUAUUGGACAAUGGGUUAGCGCCUGAUCCAGCCAUCCCGCGUGAAGGACGACGGCCCUAUGGGUUGUAAACUUCUUUUGUAUAGGGAUAAACCUUUCCACGUGUGGAAAGCUGAAGGUACUAUACGAAUAAGCACCGGCUAACUCCGUGCCAGCAGCCGCGGUAAUACGGAGGGUGCAAGCGUUAUCCGGAUUUAUUGGGUUUAAAGGGUCCGUAGGCGGGCUCGUAAGUCAGUGGUGAAAUCUCAUAGCUUAACUAUGAAACUGCCAUUGAUACUGCGAGCCUUGAGUAAGGUAGAGGUAGCUGGAAUAAGUAGUGUAGCGGUGAAAUGCAUAGAUAUUACUUAGAACACCAAUUGCGAA
rnacentral:rRNA from 1 species